rnacentral:rRNA from 1 species
AUGAGCUUCUACAGCCUCCCGGAGACUUUACACCACGAGAUUGCCACCGUUCAGGGACGCUUGUUCUGGGCAGGCGAGGGAGACAAGUAGAAAUACCACAUGGUGCGUUGGUCGGAGAUAUGUAAACCACGUGACCAAGGUGGUCUCGGGAUCAUGUCCUCCAAACGCAUGAACAUAGACCUACUAACGAGAUGGUUGUGGCGAAUAGCCCACGGAGAAGGUGGCUUGUGGCUACGCCUCAUUCAGCAGAAAUACCUCCGUGGCCAGCCCCUAGCCUUCUGCCAGCGAUCUGGAGGAUCAAUUCUGGCAAUCCAUCAUCCAACUUCUGCCGAUCCUCCGCAUCGGCACCUUGAUCGUGGUUGGCUCGGGCACCUCCACGUUGUUCUGGUUCGAUAG